rnacentral:rRNA from 1 species
GUUAAUCGGAAUUACUGGGCGUAAAGCGCACGCAGGCGGUUUGUUAAGUCAGAUGUGAAAUCCCCGGGCUCAACCUGGGAACUGCAUCUGAUACUGGCAAGCUUGAGUCUCGUAGAGGGGGGUAGAAUUCCAGGUGUAGCGGUGAAAUGCGUAGAGAUCUGGAGGAAUACCGGUGGCGAAGGCGGCCCCCUGGACGAAGACUGACGCU